GGGCACAUACACCCCAGGGGAGAGACCCGUGGAACCCAGGUAGUGCCUCAUUGAGUCUUCACCUCACCCUGUGAGGUGAUGCCACACAUGAAAUUCCCAAUUCACCCAGGAGGAAACAGUCCCAGGGAGGUGGGAGACAGGCUGAGACACCCAGAGAGCAGACAGCAAGCCAGGGUUCGAAUCCUAGGAGUGUCCAGCUCCAGAACACCUGCUCGUCCUACCACAGUGGCCCCAAGUUCUCCAGGCACAAGUCUCCUAUGGUCACUUGUUACAGUGUCCCAGGGUGGUGGUCAGUGCCCUGAUAAAACCAUGGCCUGCACCAGGAGGGACAAUGCUGACCCGAGCCACAUCUCUGAUGGCCAUUUGCUGCUGGCCUAGCAGAGCAGUACCAACCCCAUUAGAAGGCACUCAAGAGCCAGCGUUUGUUUACAGAGCUGGCGUAGUUGGGUGGUGGCUGGGAGGGUGUUCUGUGGUGGUGAGGGGGUGCAGCACAGUGAAGUGGAGGGAAUGGUAUGUGUUUGGGCCCCCCAAAAACAUAGCCAUGCUUUCUGUACAAUUUCAGAUUACUAAAGGGGAAAGGAUGUGUGUCUUAAUGCUUCUCAUGAUAUUUUUCUUUUUGCCUAACUAAGAAAUGCGUAUGGAUGCAUGUCUGUUUGCAGGGGCAGGGAGGAGGAGGGCCCUUGGAAUAGCUGCCCACAACAGCUGGAAGUCCUGUCUGGGUCCCCCAGCUGGGCUAGAGAGGGCAGUGAUCAUCUGUCCACUGGACAGGAAGGUUUGCAAAGGGCUGUUUGCUUCCUGGGUACCAAUUUUUAGCCUUCUAAAGUCCUUGUCCAGUGGACCCAGGCAGGCAGCAGUGCUGGUUUCCAGGGGAUGCUCCUUCUUGGGGGAAGGGACUCCCUCAUCCAUGCUGGCCUUUGCCUGGUGGAUCUGAGGGCAUGCAGCCCUCUGCACUGGUCACCAGAGGGCGCAGAAGAGUCAGCUGGCUGCCUUGGGUCCUCAGUGCCCUGCUUUUCCACAGGAGUGGGCAGUGUCACCUGAACCCCUGAGACUGGGACACCCAAAAUCAAUGCAGUGCUCAUGGCUCUGAUUCUCCCAUUACUUAGAAUGUCCUCCCACCUGCCCCCAGGGUGGGCAUUAGAGAGCCCAGCUAGGGGCCUACCAGGAUACUGCCUGGUGAGGACAUCCCCUUGUGCUGGCCAACCCUGGCUUGCACUGGGAGCAGCCCUGUUGCGUCCCUACGAGACUGACCUCAUUUGUCCCUCACUCUGGCUCCAGGGCCUGCUUUGUCCAUGCCAGGGCAUGUCCUGCUGCACCCCUGCCAUUAUCGGUGCGCAGGCCUGGGUCUGAGCCCAGGAGAUGUGAGUGACUUCCUGCCCUUCGCCCUUUGCGUGUGUGGCUUGGACUAGCUCCCCGUUUUCAAAGGUCCCGAUGACUCCAGCAGGUUUUCCACCCAGUGGUGGGCAGAUUGCUUUUUUUUUUUUUUUUUUUGAGAUGGAGUCUCGCUCUAUCGCCCAGGCUGGAGUGCAGUGACAUGAUCUUGGCUCACUGCAGCCUCCAUCUUCCAGAUUCAAGCUAUUCUCCUGCCUUAACCUCUUGAGUAGCUGGUAUUACAGGUGCCCACCACUACACCCAGCUAAUUAUGUUUAGUAGAGACAGGUUUUCACUAUGUUGGCCAGGCUGGUCUUGAACUCCUGACCUCAGGCACUCCGCCUGUCUUGGCCUCCCAAAGUGCUAGGAUUACAGGUGUGAGCCACUGCACCCAGCCAUCAGAUUGCUUUUCAUGUUUACUGCUCAAUGGGGUGAUGCCAUGGCCACAGCCUCAGCAAUACAGGGCAGCAGAGCAUGUGGGCUGUGUGUGUCUACACAUAUUCUUGCCCACCUGCAGCAUUUCAGGUUACCUUGUCCCAUCCCAAGCCAUACUGACCUAGAAAUGAAAACGAGGCCAAGGGAGAACUUAAGAACACAAUAGAAAAGGGGAAGGCUGGGCGCGGUGGCUCAUGCCUGUAAUCCCAGCAGUUUGGGAGGCUGAGGCGGGCAGAUCACCUGAGGUUGGG